rnacentral:rRNA from 1 species
UACGUAGGGGGCUAGCGUUGUCCGGAUUUAUUGGGCGUAAAGAGCGUGUAGGCGGCCAGGUAGGUCUGGUGUGAAAACUCGAGGCUUAACCUCGAGAUGUCAUCGGAAACCAUCUGGCUAGAGUCCGGAAGAGGAGAGUGGAAUUCCUGGUGUAGCGGUGGAAUGCGCAGAUAUCAGGAAGAACACCGACGGCGAAGGCAGCUCGCUGGGACGGUACUGACGCUGAGACGCGAAAGCGUGGGGAGCAACCAGG